AGGAGCUUGCUCCUGUUGGUUUUAGCGGCGGACGGGUGAGUAACACGUGGGCAACCUGCCCUGCAGAUCGGGAUAACUCCGGGAAACCGGUGCUAAUACCGAAUAGUUUGUCGCCUCUCCUGAGGCGAUACGGAAAGACGGUUUCGGCUGUCACUGCAGGAUGGGCCCGCGGCGCAUUAGCUAGUUGGUGGGGUAAUGGCCCACCAAGGCGACGAUGCGUAGCCGACCUGAGAGGGUGAUCGGCCACACUGGGACUGAGACACGGCCCAGACUCCUACGGGAGGCAGCAGUAAGGAAUCUUCCGCAAUGGACGCAAGUCUGACGGAGCAACGCCGCGUGAGUGACGAAGGUUUUCGGAUCGUAAAACUCUGUUGUGAGGGAAGAACAAGUGCCAACUAACUACUGGCACCUUGACGGUACCUCACCAGAAAGCCACGGCUAACUACGUGCCAGCAGCCGCGGUAAUACGUAGGUGGCAAGCGUUGUCCGGAAUUAUUGGGCGUAAAGCGCGCGCAGGCGGUCCUUUAAGUCUGAUGUGAAAGCCCACGGCUCAACCGUGGAGGGUCAUUGGAAACUGGAGGACUUGAGUGCAGAAGAGGAAAGUGGAAUUCCAUGUGUAGCGG
rnacentral:rRNA from 1 species